rnacentral:rRNA from 1 species
CCUACGGGUGGCAGCAGUGAGGAAUAUUGGUCAAUGGCCGGAAGGCUGAACCAGCCAAGUCGCGUGAGGGAAUAAGGCCCUAUGGGUCGUAAACCUCUUUUCUCAGGGACGAAGAAAGUGACGGUACCUGAGGAAUAAGCCACGGCUAACUACGUGCCAGCAGCCGCGGUAAUACGUAGGUGGCAAGCGUUAUCCGGAUUUACUGGGUGUAAAGGGCGUGUAGGCGGGACUGCAAGUCAGAUGUGAAAACCACGGGCUCAACCUGUGGCCUGCAUUUGAAACUGUAGUUCUUGAGUACUGGAGAGGCAGACGGAAUUCCUAGUGUAGCGGUGAAAUGCGUAGAUAUUAGGAGGAACACCAGUGGCGAAGGCGGUCUGCUGGACAGCAACUGACGCUGAGGCGCGAAAGCGUGGGGAGCAAACAGGAUUAGAUACCCCGGUAGUC